rnacentral:lncRNA from 1 species
AGAAGCAGAGGCACACAGAGGAUUAGAAGACAAAUCAACCAAAGCUAAUUGUAGUCGCUCUUAAUAGUAGAGAAGCAAAAGGCCAGACUCUUCAAAGUUUUUGUAAAGGGCCAGAACAGGAUGGAUGGUAUUAAGGAAUUAUUAAUACCUACUGAGCUCUUGCAGAUUACAAAGGAUGUGCACCAAAUGCAACGUAAAGACAAAUAAUCAAGCAAACGGGUUUUAUGAGAAAAGAUGAAAAGCUUCUUCCAGUGUAUAUAGGGUCUGAUGAAGGAAAAUGAUAGGUUUAUGGAAGGAAAGAACAUUUCCUUUAACAAGCAAACAAAAAAAAAAAAGAAAAAUGCAAAGAGAAAAGCUGCUCAUGAACUGCAAGGAAUCAGAGUGGAACUGGAAAAAGCCCAGAAAAAUGUGAAACUUGCACACGGUCAUCCCAAUGCAGCAGUGUCCCCAUGGAAGAUGAUUUCUUGGGAUUUGGACAAGAGAGAAUAG